rnacentral:misc_RNA from 1 species
GCAAAAUCUCUAAUAUGGUUGAUGAUCUUAUAUAUCGAGGUAUUUAUGUUGGCAAAAAGGAAAAUGGUGGCCUGCGUGAUUUCAAGAUUUAGUUGAAUGCCUCAAGGCACUCAAAGAAUGCAGAAGAAGAAGAUCUCUAGGAGUUAUCAACUUAUUUCCUUCGGCUAUACAGGUAUAUAGUAUCACUGUUUUUUGUGUUUAUCUUUGUGCAG